UACGAAGGGGGGCUAGCGUUGCUCGGAAUCACUGGGCGUAAAGGGUGCGUAGGCGGGUCUUUAAGUCAGGGGUGAAAUCCUGGAGCUCAACUCCAGAACUGCCUUUGAUACUGAAGAUCUUGAGUUCGGGAGAGGUGAGUGGAACUGCGAGUGUAGAGGUGAAAUUCGUAGAUAUUCGCAAGAACACCAGUUGCGAAGGCGGCUGGCUGGACCCAUAUUGACGCUGAGGUGCGAAAGCGUGGGGAGCAAACAGG
rnacentral:rRNA from 1 species